CGGGAUUUAGCGCAGUUGGUAGCGCACGUCGUUCGGGACGAUGAGGUCGCUGGUUCGAGCCAGUAAUCCCGA
rnacentral:tRNA from 1 species